CCUACGGGACGCAGCAGUGGGGGAUAUUGCACAAUGGGGGAAACCCUGAUGCAGCAACGCCGCGUGUGGGAAGAAGGUUUUCGGAUUGUAAACCACUGUUCUUGGUGAAGAUAAUGACGGUAACCAAGGAGAAAGCUCCGGCUAACUACGUGCCAGCAGCCGCGGUAAUACGUAGGGAGCAAGCGUUGUCCGGAUUUACUGGGUGUAAAGGGUGCGUAGGCGGUCUUGCAAGUCAGACGUGAAAACCACAGGCUCAACCUGUGGACUGCGUUUGAAACUGUGGGGCUUGAGUGAAGUAGAGGUAG
rnacentral:rRNA from 1 species